AGGAUCAACCGUCUAUUUUAAUCCUGUUGCAGAGGAAUUGCUGGUCUCAUAAAUAAAAAACUAAAAGACCCACACCGCCCCUUCUCUCUCUGUCUUAUCCCUUUCCUCUAGUGAAGCUCGGCCACUGUUUCUUCCUCUAGUGAAGCUCCGCCACUGUUUCCCCAAAUCCACAAGACUGCUCCGGCCGAGCCAGCUGCAAGGGAUGGCCGGAGGGCGCAGCUGCUGCGAGAGCUGACCGGAGACGGCGCAGCAUCACCGCCACACGUAUCUCGCUGCUAGCAGCAGGGAGACGGCGAAGUACACAAGAAGCAGAGCAACGGCGAGAUCCACGAGCUUGACGACAACGGCAAGCUGGAGUCUCCUCCCGACGAGCUCGACAAGGAAUACGACGACGGCGAUGUCCCGGAGCAGCACGGCCGACCUGGACGAGGAGGAGGGUAGCAACCAGACGAGGGGCAUGCCUGGGCCGCCGGGCUAUCUUACGGCUGCAGGAGGCCUCUGACGGCAGGGUCGCGAUAGCUGGACCUCGGCGCCCUCCUGCCUGGCCAAGCCCCAGUAGCAAAACCAAAGAUGCUGUCCAACCAAGUUUGUGUUUCCACAUUGCUUCUUAUGGCAUUGAAAGCUUCUUCAAAGGCUUCCUCUUCCUCAUACUUGUACAUGCAAGCACUGAAAUCAGCAAGUACAUUUGGUCCUUCCUCGUCUUUUUUCUUAUGAGGUUGCUUUUUGUUAUGCACUGAUAGGAACGUGUUGAACAACCAUUUGAAUGAUUCAAAUGUCUCAUCAUAUAAAAGUGCAGCACCAAAAAUGACCAUUUCUCUAAAAUGGUUGAAGCCAACAAACACACCGAAGGGUCUGUACUCUUUGUUUGUCCCAAAUGUUGUAUCGAAGGUAACAACAUCACCGAAAUGAGCAUAGUCAAUGAUCAUCCUUGCAUCAGCCCAAAAGAUAUUUGCUAUAUUUUCAUCACAAUCUAGUUGCAUGUCAUAUUCAAAUGCAGGAUUCUCAUUCUUUUUAUCUCUAAAAUACUUGAGCAUACGUACUUCCAGCUUCACCAUACAUCAAGUCUCUUUGACGUCUGGUUCGCAAGUGGUUCUUGCGAUCACGACAUGUGUAGCCAAGGUUCAGUGGACCACCAACUUGUCGACUUGCUAACUCAUGGGCUUUUCUAGGUACAAUUCCUGAAUCAUCUGCUGUUUCAAUUUCAAGUGCUUGCAAGGCCGAAAUUUUCCUCUGUGAUGGCAUCAAGUGGCUUGUCCCAGGAGAAGGACAACAAAAGAGAGAUCGUCUGCAUUAAUCUCCUGUCAUGUUUUGGAAAUCCCAGUAGAAGGAAGACAAAAGGGAGAUAAUCUUCAUCGCCUACAGAUCAGCUUGCCUUGGUUUCACUCUGAACAUGGGGGAUGAUCAGAAGAGAGAUAAGGCAAAAGGGAGUUGAUCUCGCCACCUACAGACCACAGAUGAACGUACCUCCGCCAUGUUCUUUUACAAGGACGAGCAAGAGGAACGGGGAAGAUGAGCAGGACGAAGGCAAAUAGAUCGUAGAGGAGCCGAACCCAUCGAUCGCUGUUUGUCGCCAACGCGAUUAUUAGGGUGGUGUUUUGUUUGGCGCCAAUGUGAGUCUUCGUGGUUCUGUUUGGCGCCAAUGUGAGUCUUCGUGGUUCUGUUUGGCGCCAAUCUUGCAACCGUACAAGAUUUUCUACCACAUAAUUAGGUGUUUGUUUCCAUCUAUUAACAGAAUCGGGUGGGGGUAAUGAGAGCCGUGAGAUUUAAAUGAAUGGCUGAUCUGGGUUGGUACAGUACCCGUGCAGUAAUAACGUGACUGCAGAUGAGCCGAACCCCGAGAUUGCGGCUAGAUGACAUCGGCUGCAUGUGGCAAGACAUGCAUAAAUACUAAUUGGUAUAAACUACGAGAUGAAGAACCUAGAAAGUCAGAUUAGAAGUAAGUUAGAUGUUAUUUUGAUUAUUUUAUUUUGAGGAAUCGUACAAUCAGAUUGUAGUUUUGAUUUUCCUGGGUUGGACACGUUGGGCCUCUUAAUUUAUGAAUAACUUUUUGUUGACAAA